GAAGGGAGCUUGCUCCUGAAUUCAGCGGCGGACGGGUGAGUAAUGCCUAGGAAUCUGCCUGGUAGUGGGGGACAACGUUUCGAAAGGAACGCUAAUACCGCAUACGUCCUACGGGAGAAAGCAGGGGACCUUCGGGCCUUGCGCUAUCAGAUGAGCCUAGGUCGGAUUAGCUAGUUGGUGAGGUAAUGGCUCACCAAGGCGACGAUCCGUAACUGGUCUGAGAGGAUGAUCAGUCACACUGGAACUGAGACACGGUCCAGACUCCUACGGGAGGCAGCAGUGGGGAAUAUUGGACAAUGGGCGAAAGCCUGAUCCAGCCAUGCCGCGUGUGUGAAGAAGGUCUUCGGAUUGUAAAGCACUUUAAGUUGGGAGGAAGGGCAGUAAAUUAAUACUUUGCUGUUUUGACGUUACCGACAGAAUAAGCACCGGCUAACUCUGUGCCAGCAGCCGCGGUAAUACAGAGGGUGCAAGCGUUAAUCGGAAUUACUGGGCGUAAAGCGCGCGUAGGUGGUUCGUUAAGUUGGAUGUGAAAU
rnacentral:rRNA from 3 species